UGGCGUCAAUGAGAUUUCUCAUCCGUUGUACUCUUAUUUUGGACGGUCUGAUCAGUUCUCCGGUGGAGUAGCUCAAAGACUUCGUAGUAGAGACGUGGCGGCAAGCGGAGGGGGAAGGGAAAAGAUGGCGGCAUCGGGGCUGAGGUGAAAGGGGGAAAUGGCGGCGACCGGGUUGAGAUGAAAGGGGAGAGAUGGCGGCGUAGAGAGAAAAGAGACAGAGGGACCCCGAUUGUAAAUAACGG
rnacentral:lncRNA from 1 species